AACGAACGCUGGCGGCAUGCCCAACACAUGCAAGUCGAACGAGACCUUCGGGUCUAGUGGCGCACGGGUGCGUAACGCGUGGGAAUCUGCCCUUGGGUUCGGAAUAACAGUUAGAAAUGACUGCUAAUACCGGAUGAUGACGUAAGUCCAAAGAUUUAUCGCCCAAGGAUGAGCCCGCGUAGGAUUAGCUUGUUGGUGAGGUAAAGGCUCACCAAGGCGACGAUCCUUAGCUGGUCUGAGAGGAUGAUCAGCCACACUGGGACUGAGACACGGCCCAGACUCCUACGGGAGGCAGCAGUGGGGAAUAUUGGACAAUGGGCGAAAGCCUGAUCCAGCAAUGCCGCGUGAGUGAUGAAGGCCUUAGGGUUGUAAAGCUCUUUUACCCGGGAUGAUAAUGACAGUACCGGGAGAAUAAGCCCUGGCUAACUCCGUGCCAGCCGCCGCUGUAAAAC
rnacentral:rRNA from 1 species